UGGUUAAUCAGAAAUAUCUAUAUAUAUAAAAGGUGAUGGCAUCACGGCGACCCACAAAACAACAAAACUAAAGGCCCCCCAACCUCGAAAUUUGACAACACAACCCAUCAUCCGCGCCUCUAGGUUGAUACAACAAAAAGAAAAGAAAAAUGAAGUCCUAAUUAGAGAGAGAGGAAUAAUUGCUUUUAUCCAAUUGUUGCCAGUUAGAAGGCUAAGCUCCUCCAACUUGGUCUCCUAGCAACCCAAUAAAAAUAAAAAAAUACACUAAAAAAUUAAUAUAAUAAAAUACUAUAAUAACAGAAAACAACUAAAAAAUAAUACAAGAAAAUAAUAAAAUAUAAUAAAUAAAAAUAUAACUUACAAUAAAAUUAAUUUAAAAAUGCAAAUAAAGUCAAAUAAAAAUUACACAACAAUUUUUAACCAAUACCACCACCACUUUGCCACAGCAACGUGUGGCCGGGCACAGCUAGUUAAAUUAUAAUAUCACUAGCUUGGGUACUCGGCGUUGCCCAGGUUAUAUAAAAAAGUCAAUUUGUUAAUUGUACAAAAUGCAUAAGGUUGUAGGUGAACUACAACUCACAUCAUGCCAGGUUAACCCCAUCAGUACUUAAAGUUUGUUAUCUUGGC
rnacentral:lncRNA from 11 species